GUAGGUGGCAAGCGUUGUCCGGAAUUAUUGGGCGUAAAGCGCGCGCAGGCGGUUCUUUAAGUCUGAUGUGAAAGCCCACGGCUCAACCGUGGAGGGUCAUUGGAAACUGGAGAACUUGAGUACAGAAGAGGAAAGCGGAAUUCCACGUGUAGCGGUGAAAUGCGUAGAGAUGUGGAGGAACACCAGUGGCGAAGGCGGCUUUCUGGUCUGUAACUGACGCUGAGGCGCGAAAGCGUGGGGAGCAAACAGGGAUUAGAUACCCUGGUAGUCCACGCCGUAAACCGAUGAGUGCUAAGUGUUAGGGGGUUUCCGCCCCCUUAGUGCUGCAGCUAACGCAUUAAGCACUCCGCCUGGGGAGUACGGCCGCAAGGCUG
rnacentral:rRNA from 1 species